UACGUAGGGGGCAAGCGUUGUCCGGAAUCAUUGGGCGUAAAGCGCGCGUAGGCUGCCAGAUAAGUCCGGUGUGAAAGUCAAAGGCUCAACCUUUGAAUGCCGCUGGAAACUGUCUGGCUAGAGUCCGGAAGGGGCGAGUGGAACUCCUGGUGUAGCGGUGAAAUGCGCAGAUAUCAGGAAGAACACCUAUGGCGAAGGCAGCUCGCUAGGACGGUACUGACGCUGAGGCGCGAAAGCGUGGGGAGCGAACAGG
rnacentral:rRNA from 1 species